UCACAAAUACACUCUGCUGGAGAAGGACCAGCAUUUGCAAAGACACCUGAAGAGUGCAGGCGGUUCUUAGGGGAAGAUGGAUGAUCCUCUGCUGGAGUGAAGGAUAUGGAGGAAAGGAGUGAGCAUACCAAUGGCAAAUCAGCUCUCUGGAGGAAGGACCAGGGUAAGAGGCCCGUGCAGAAGCAGAUUCAGUGUGGAUUUAAGCAAGUAAUUCUGGAGUCCCAGGUGUGGAAUUGUGAUUAAGCAAUGAACUGUCCCUGCCCUCAUGGAGUUUAAAGUCUGGAGAGAAAUCAGACAUUGAGCAGGCAUUUAUGUACCAGGAAGACAACAC